rnacentral:rRNA from 1 species
AUUGAACGCUGGCGGCAGGCUUAACACAUGCAAGUCGAGCGGAGAUGAGGUGCUUGCACCUUAUCUUAGCGGCGGACGGGUGAGUAAUGCUUAGGAAUCUGCCUAUUAGUGGGGGACAACAUUCCGAAAGGAAUGCUAAUACCGCAUACGUCCUACGGGAGAAAGCAGGGGAUCUUCGGACCUUGCGCUAAUAGAUGAGCCUAAGUCGGAUUAGCUAGUUGGUGGGGUAAAGGCCUACCAAGGCGACGAUCUGUAGCGGGUCUGAGAGGAUGAUCCGCCACACUGGGACUGAGACACGGCCCAGACUCCUACGGGAGGCAGCAGUGGGGAAUAUUGGACAAUGGGGGGAACCCUGAUCCGGCCAUGCCGCGUGUGUGAAGAAGACCUUAUGGUUGUAAAGCACUUUAAGCGAGGAGGAGGCUACUGAGACUAAUACUCUUGGAUAGUGGACGUUACUCGCAGAAUAAGCACCGGCUAACUCUGUGCCAGCCGCCGCGGUAAAAC